AGCACCCCUACAAGUUUGUCUUUCUGGUCAGUAGUUAGGUCAGAUGCAAUGAUCACUGGAAAGGUAUCAUUAGGUCCAAGAAAUGAAUAUUUCAGCAUGGCAGGAAGAGACUUUAGUUCUAGAGUAGGUGGUGCUUCUAGGGAUGGUACCAGAGGACUUGAUUGAGUUGGUAAUUGUUCAUAUUUUACAGUCCAAGGGGGA
rnacentral:lncRNA from 1 species